CCUACGGGAGGCAGCAGUGAGGAAUAUUGGUCAAUGGCCGGAAGACUGAACCAGCCAAGCCGCGUGAGGGAUGAAGGUCCCAAGCAUCGUAAACCUCUUUUGUCAGGGAACAAAGGCGGGCACGUGACCCUGACUGAGUGUACCUGAAGAAAAAGCAUCGGCUAACUCCGUGCCAGCAGCCGCGGUAAUACGGAGGAUGCGAGCGUUAUCCGGAUUUAUUGGGUUUAAAGGGUGCGUAGGCGGACUGUUAAGUCAGCGGUAAAAGCCCGGGGCUCAACCCCGGCCAGCCGUUGAAACUGGCUGUCUGGAGUUGGAGAGAGGUAUGCGGAAGGCGCGGUGUAGCGGUGAAAUGCAUAGAUAUCGCGCAGAACUCCGAUUGCGAAGGCAGCAUGCCGGCUGCAAACUGACGCUGAGGCACGAAAGCGUGGGUAUCGAACAGGAUUAGAUACCCUAGUAGUC
rnacentral:rRNA from 1 species